CCUACGGGGGGCUGCAGUAGGGAAUCUUCCGCAAUGGACGAAAGUCUGACGGAGCAACGCCGCGUGAGCGAUGAAGGCCUUCGGGUCGUAAAGCUCUGUUGUCAGGGAAGAACAAGUGCGGGAGUAACUGCCCGCACCUUGACGGUACCUGACCAGAAAGCCACGGCUAACUACGUGCCAGCAGCCGCGGUAAUACGUAGGUGGCAAGCGUUGUCCGGAAUUAUUGGGCGUAAAGCGCGCGCAGGCGGUCCCUUAAGUCUGAUGUGAAAUCUUGCGGCUCAACCGCAAGCGGUCAUUGGAAACUGGGAGACUUGAGUGCAGAAGAGGAAAGCGGAAUUCCACGUGUAGCGGUGAAAUGCGUAGAUAUUAGGAGGAACACCAGUGGCGAAGGCGGCUCUCUGGACUGCAACUGACGCUGAGGCACGAAAGCGUGGGGAGCGAACAGGAUUAGAUACCCCAGUAGUC
rnacentral:rRNA from 1 species